rnacentral:rRNA from 1 species
GACAGAGGGUGCAAACGUUGCUCGGAAUCACUGGGCGUAAAGGGCGUGUAGGCGGGAAUGUAAGUCGGGCGUGAAAUCCCUAGGCUCAACCUAGGAACUGCACUCGAAACUGCGUUUCUUGAGUAUCGGAGAGGAAAGCGGAAUACCUGGUGUAGAGGUGAAAUUCGUAGAUAUCUGGAGGAAUACCGGUGGCGAAGGCGGCAUCCUGGACCGGCAUUGACGCUGAGGAGCGAAAGCCAGGGGAGCAAACGGG